AUUGAACGCUGGCGGCAGGCCUAACACAUGCAAGUCGAGCGGAGCGGCGGACGGGUGAGUAAUGCCUAGGAAUCUGCCUGGUAGUGGGGGAUAACGUCCGGAAACGGGCGCUAAUACCGCAUACUAUCAGAUGAGCCUAGGUCGGAUUAGCUAGUGGGUGGGGUAAAGGCCUACCAAGGCGACGAUCCGUAACUGGUCUGAGAGGAUGAUCAGGCAACAUGGAACUGGGACACGGGCCAGACUCCUACGGGAGGCCGCAGUGGGGAAUAUUGGGAAAUGGGGGAAAGCCUGAGUCAGCCAUGCCGCGUGUGUGAAGAAGGUCUUCGGAUUGUAAAGCACUUUAAGUUGGGAGGCGUUACCAACAGAAUAAGCACCGGCUAACUACGUGCCAGCCGCCGCGGUAAUAC
rnacentral:rRNA from 1 species